rnacentral:sRNA from 1 species
UACGGAGGGUGCAAGCGUUACUCGGAAUCACUGGGCGUAAAGGGUGCGUAGGCUGGCUUCUAAGUCAGAUGUGAAAUCCAAUGGCUCAACCAUUGAACUGCAUUUGAAACUGGGAGCCUAGAGUUCAGAAGGGGCAGAUGGAAUUAGUGGUGUAGGGGUAAAAUCCGUAGAUAUCACUAGGAAUAUCAAAAGCGAAGGCGAUCUGCUGGGAUGAUACUGACGCUGAGGCACGAAAGCGUGGGGAGCAAACAGG